rnacentral:lncRNA from 1 species
GGUUCAGUGACCACUUGAAAAAAAAGUUCAAUUUUUUUGUAAUGUUGAAUUCUCUCUUAUUAUAAGUAAUAGGAUAACUAUAUUUGAUAUGUGCGUACCUUGCAAGGUCCUCAUGUUUGUCAGACAGUUUUCACUUGACCUCGACCUCAUUUCAUGGAUCAGUGAACAAGGUUAAGUUUUGGUGGUCAAGUCCAUAUCUCAGAUACUAUAAGCAAUAGGGCUUGUAUAUUCGGUGUAUGGAAGGACUGUAAGGUGUACAUGUCCAACUGGCAGGUGUCAUCUGACCUUGACCUCAUUUUCAUGGUUCAGUGGUUAUAGUUAAAUUUUUGUGUUUUGGUCUGUUUUUCUCAUACUAUAUGCAAUAGGUCUUCUAUAUUUGUUGUAUGGAAUGAUUGUAAGGUGUACAUGUCUAGCGGGCA